AAGGAGGCCCGCCCUAGAGGACGCCGGCGCUGAGGGGGCCGAGCCUGUCAGGGGUCGGUUAGCGGCCGCUCACCCCUUUUUGCAUAUUCAUGAAGCCGAACGAGGCAGACCGCCCAGGCAAGCCUUGGAGAGAUCAUGCAUUAUUCAUGAGGCAGCGUCUCGCCCCGCCCUCAAAGGACCUUAUUGACUAUUCAUAAGCCUAAGCGGGUUUGGGCCGGAAACGGCCGUUGGGUACUCACGCUCCUGAGAGAGGCGUCGACAGCUGAAGUGAGGGCUGUCCAGACGCAAGGUUUCCGGAGAAAGACAGUGCUUGAGCAUCGUCAGUUUUCCUAAGAUGGGGACACUGAGGCACACAACUUGCUCAAGAUGAAAUGGUCUGACUUGUUAAAAGAAUCCUGGUACAUUACUACAAUGGCCACUGCUCAGCUCUCUCACUCUAUCAAAAUUCAUAAGGCAUCUAAGGAAACAGUUUUUCCAUCCCAAAUCACUAAUGAGCAUGAGUCAUUGAUCAUGGUGAAGAAGCUUUUUGCUACUUCUAUCUCAUGUAUAACAUAUCUAAGAGGACUGUUUCCAGAGAGCUCUUAUGGAGAACGCCAUUUGGAUGACCUCAGUUUAAAAAUCCUUCGAGAAGAUAAAAAAUGUCCUGGGUCACUGCAUAUUAUCAAAUGGAUCCAAGGUUGUUUUGAUGCUUUGGAAAAGAAAUACCUACACAUGGCAGUACUUACACUUUACACAAAUCCCAAGGAACCUGAGAAGGUGACUGAGAUAUACCAGUUCAAAUUCAAAUACACAAAAGAAGGAGCCACAAUGGAUUUUGACAGCAGUAGUGCAAGCUUUGAAAGUGGGACAAACAGUGAAGAUAUUAAGAAAGCCAGUAUUCUACUGAUCCGUAAAUUAUAUAUACUGAUGCAGAACCUUGGACCCCUUCCUAAUGAUGUUAUACUUACUAUGAAACUCCACUACUAUAAUGCAGUGACUCCACAUGAUUACCAACCCCCUGGUUUUAAAGAAGGGGUAAACUCACACCUCCUGCUGUUCGAGGGGGAGCCUGUUAACCUGCAAGUGGGAUUGGUCUCCACUGGUUUUCAUAGCAUGAAAGUAAAAGUCACAACUGAGGUCACCAGAGUGUCUGAUUUGGAGAACAAUCUCUUUCAGGAGAACAGCACUACUGAGAUUGCUCAUCAGGGUCUAGACUUCGAUGAGGAAGAAGAGGAAUGCAACAAUCACAUUCAAAGAAUGAAUUUUGCGUACAGUCAGCAAAGUUCUGAGAGCUCCAGGAAGAAGAGGAAGGUCAGCGAACCAGUGAAAGCCUUCAUCCCUGACAGAAAAUGAAAGAUGCCUUCGCUGCAUUUAUUCUAAAAUAAUUUUAUUUUGCAACAAACAUGCAUGAAGUAUCUUAAUUAGGAAAGUCCCUCUGGUGUCUGGUUCUUUCAUUCUCCAGCUCACUUCUGCCAGGAAGAGGCUGGAAAUGUUCAUCAGUGUCAACGCUGCAUUUAUACAAGUUCAAAGUUGUGUAUGUGUUUUAAAAAUAACUAUUAGAGCCAG